GAUGAACGCUGGCGGCGUGCCUAAUACAUGCAAGUCGAGCGAACGGACGAGAAGCUUGCUUCUCUGAUGUUAGCGGCGGACGGGUGAGUAACACGUGGAUAACCUACCUAUAAGACUGGGAUAACUUCGGGAAACCGGAGCUAAUACCGGAUAAUAUUUUGAACCGCAUGGUUCAAAAGUGAAAGACGGUCUUGCUGUCACUUAUAGAUGGAUCCGCGCUGCAUUAGCUAGUUGGUAAGGUAACGGCUUACCAAGGCAACGAUGCAUAGCCGACCUGAGAGGGUGAUCGGCCACACUGGAACUGAGACACGGUCCAGACUCCUACGGGAGGCAGCAGUAGGGAAUCUUCCGCAAUGGGCGAAAGCCUGACGGAAGCACGCCGCGUGAGUGAUGAAGGUCUUCGGAUCGUAAAACUCUGUUAUUANGGAAGAACAUAUGUGUAAGUAACUGUGCACAUCUUGACGGUACCCUAUCAGAAAGCCACGGCUAACUACGUGCCAGCAGCCGCGGUAAUACGUAGGUGGCAAGCGUUAUCCGGAAUUAUUGGGCGUAAAGCGCGCGUAGCGGUUUUUUAGUCUGAUGUGAAAGCCCACGGCUCAACCGUGGAGGGUCAUUGGAAACUGGAAAACUUGAGUGCAGAAGAGGAAAGUGGAAUUCCAUGUGUAGCGGUGAAAUGCGCAGAGAUAUGGAGGAACACCAGUGGCGAAGGCGACUUUCUGGUCUGUAACUGACGCUGAUGUGCGAAAGCGUGGGGAUCAAACAGGAUUAGAUACCCUGGUAGUCCACGCCGUAAACGAUGAGUGCUAAGUGUUAGGGGGUUUCCGCCCCUUAGUGCUGCAGCUAACGCAUUAAGCACUCCGCCUGGGGAGUACGACCGCAAGGUUGAAACUCAAAGGAAUUGACGGGGACCCGCACAAGCGGUGGAGCAUGUGGUUUAAUUCGAAGCAACGCGAAGAACCUUACCAAAUCUUGACAUCCUUUGACAACUCUAGAGAUAGAGCCUUCCCCUUCGGGGGACAAAGUGACAGGUGGUGCAUGGUUGUCGUCAGCUCGUGUCGUGAGAUGUUGGGUUAAGUCCCGCAACGAGCGCAACCCUUAAGCUUAGUUGCCAUCAUUAAGUUGGGCACUCUAAGUUGACUGCCGGUGACAAACCGGAGGAAGGUGGGGAUGACGUCAAAUCAUCAUGCCCCUUAUGAUUUGGGCUACACACGUGCUACAAUGGACAAUACAAAGGGCAGCGAAACCGCGAGGUCAAGCAAAUCCCAUAAAGUUGUUCUCAGUUCGGAUUGUAGUCUGCAACUCGACUACAUGAAGCUGGAAUCGCUAGUAAUCGUAGAUCAGCAUGCUACGGUGAAUACGUUCCCGGGUCU
rnacentral:rRNA from 1 species